rnacentral:rRNA from 1 species
GAUGAACGCUAGCGGCAGGCUUAAUACAUGCAAGUUGAGGGGCAGCAUGAUAUACGCGAGUAUAUUGAUGGCGACCGGCGGACGGGUGAGUAAUAGGUAGGAGACCUACCUCAUACAGGGGGAUAGCAUAGAGAAAUCUGUGGUAAUACCCCAUGAGGUUAUAUGAAUAGAGGCAUAUAAUCAAAGCAUAAGUGAUUAUGCGGUAUGAGAGGGGCCUACUGACCAUUAGCUAGUUGGUGAGGUAAGGGCUCACCAAGGCGAAGAUGGUUAGGGGUUUUGAGAGAGAGACCCCCCACAUUGGAACUGAGAGACGGUCCAGACUCCUACGGGAGGCAGCAGUAGGGAAUAUUGGGCAAUGGGCGAAAGCCUGACCCAGCCAUGCCGCGUGAAGGAAGACGGCCUUAUGGGUUGUAAACUUCUUUACUACGCGAAUAGAGGUUAGUACGAGAUACUAAUAGGAAGGUAGUGUAGUAAAAGCACCGGCUAACUCCGUGCC